GAUGAACGCUGGCGGCGUGCCUAAUACAUGCAAGUCGAGCGAACGGACGAGAAGCUUGCUUCUCUGAUGUUAGCGGCGGACGGGUGAGUAACACGUGGAUAACCUACCUAUAAGACUGGGAUAACUUCGGGAAACCGUAGCUAAUACCGGAUAAUAUUUUGAACCGCAUGGUUCAAAAGUGAAAGACGGUCUUGCUGUCACUUAUAGAUGGAUCCGCGCUGCAUUAGCUAGUUGGUAAGGUAACGGCUUACCAAGGCAACGAUGCAUAGCCGACCUGAGAGGGGGGUAGGCCACACGGGAACUUGAGAACGGGCCCGGCUUCCAAGGGAAGGCACAGGAGGGAAUCUUCCGCAAUGGGGGGAAGCCUUACAGAACAACGGCGCGUGAGUUGUGGAAGUCCUUCGGUCGUAAAAACCUUUUUUUAGGGGAAAACCUAUGUGGAAGUAACUGUGCACAUCUUGACGGUACCUAAUCAGAAAGCCACGGCUAACUACGUG
rnacentral:rRNA from 1 species